AUGGUUCGCCAGUGCACAGUUUGUUAAAGGUGGACUAUUCUAACUCCUGAUUGAUAUUUGGACGCGUUCCUAUAAAUACUGAGCUUAGACAAUGAUCGAUUUCACUCUUGAAUUU